AGGCAGCCCCUUUGUCCGAUUCCAAUGGCAAUGGAGGUGUUGCGUUGCUCGCAGAACAAACCUUGUGCUCUUCAGAUCGGCUGAGUGGGGAGAUCUCCCCUCGUUGAGGCCAGUCUAGUAACUCUCAAGAACAUC
rfam:Zea mays cultivar B73 chromosome 5, whole genome shotgun sequence.